UUAGAUUGUUUAUUUUAUUGAUAAGAAAAAGGACAAAAAAUUUUUUGUAACGGUACUAAAGGUUCGUAUUAAUUUGAAAAAUCGUAACACAUAGACAACGAUUUUCUAUAAUUUUAUUUUUCACUUGGCAGCACCUAAUCGGUAAAAUGAGCAUUGAAAUUUUUGGUCUGUCGCUUAGGUCUGUCGUUUGUUCCUUUUUCGUAUACGCUCGCUGCGCUGCACGUGUAAUAUUUCCGAUUCUUUCGAUAUCUAAAAACAAAAAUGGAUAAACCCAAUGUUCUUGCUCGCGUCGUCAAAGUCCUGGGCCGUACUGGAUCCCAGGGUCAAUGUACUCAAGUAAAAGUGGAGUUCAUCGGUGAAACCAGCCGUCAAAUCAUCAGAAACGUGAAGGGUCCAGUCCGUGAUGGAGAUAUCCUGACACUCCUCGAGUCUGAGCGUGAAGCUAGAAGGCUGAGAUAAUCGGUAUGGACAAAUACUGUGUUUAGCUUCUCCUAGAUAAGUUCAGGAGAAUCUUCAUUAGGUUAAGUAUUAUGUAUCAAUCCAGAAUAUAAUAAUAUACAUAAAAACCUAAAAUAUUGUUGUAUUAUUUAUAACCAACCUUUUAAAUACUAACAAAGUAUCAAUAAUUUAUAAUAAUAUCAAUCAUAUUAAAUGUAUGUAAAUUUGUACUAUAGGCUCGAACGGGAAGACAAUAAAGGCUCUGUAUGUGACCUGGCAUGUGAUCAUGAAAAAAAUAACAUGCAAAUUGAACGAAUGAAUUUAGAAUUAAUGGCUUUCACUAGUGCCGAAUAGCACAGAUGGUUUUGCCAAUGAAAAUGCCCAUGCAUGCAUGUCAAAAAUGCCAUGUUCAUUGAGACAUCGUAUAUCAAAGUUUUGAUCAGUCUGGGGGACAAGAAUUUCCAAGUUAAAUUGUAAAUUCAAAAAGUGAAUUAUUUAGCAAUUUUUAAUUUGUCACAUGGUUGAUGGGGAUAAUAAUUUAGUCUUGUGCCUUUGUGUCUGAUGUGGUGUGAAAAGCAUUAACGAAAUAAUUUGUUAAGAAAAAAAAAAUAUAUCAUGAACAUUAUUUCAAGUCCCAAACAAAAAUAAUUUUAACUUUUUUGAUUAAACAACCCACAUUGCACAUUAUGUAGUAACUAACAAGACUUAAGUUAUAGGUUGUAAUGUAUAAUGUAGUAAAUUUAUAGAGACUAAUGUAGUAAAUUUAUAGAGACUAAUGUAGUAAAUUUAUAGAGACUAAUGUAGUAAAUUUAUAGAGACUAAUGUAGUAAAUUUAUAGAGACUAAUGUAGUAAAUUUAUAGAGACUAGACAAUAAGUAAUGUUUCUUUGAAUAAUAGCUUGAUGUAAUACAGCCUGUGACAUUCAAUGAAAUAUAAAUAAAUGCAGAAUUCUUAACAAUAGAUUUUGAAAUUGGAUCUUUAUUACUAUAAUUAUGUGGAUCACCUCUACAUACUAAUUGGCGUUACAUAAUUUGAUACCAUUUUUUAAAGUACACCAAUUAAAAUAUAGUCAACUUUACUCAACGUGAUUACAGUGUGAAAUUUAGCAGAAUCAAUUACGUUUCGCUGACAAAAAUAAUUGAUAUUAAACUAAUGUGUUGCAAAAGUAUGUGACAAAAAGUCUACUAGUUUCGGAAAACCCUAAAACACUUGGGUGUGCUUAAGAAUUAAAUAUAUUAUUGUAAGACUAGAUAACUACAUUACAGAGUAUUAUCAAAGGUAAAUAAAUUUUGAAAAACUAGCAUUCCUCAGUAAAUGAGUUAUCCAACACAAAAAAAAAUUCAAUUCAAACUAGUACCUGGGAUUAGCUCGUUUAAACAAACUUUUCAGCUUUAUAAUAUUAGUUUAGAUUAUGAUGAACUUGGAACUUCAAAAAAAGGCGUUUUGGUAAAUUAUAAUCUUAAGAGUAAAAUGGUAGAAAGCAGCAACAAUCACUUUGGUGUAGUUGCUGCCUAAACAAGGGCCGUCGCAGAUUAAAUUAUCACUUGGGAGGGAUAUUUAUAUUUGCACUAUUAUUUGUUUCCUG
rnacentral:misc_RNA from 1 species